UCUUAAUUAACACACGAAAAUCUACCUUGACAAAAUUGAUAAUUAGGAUCCAGUUAUCAGCCUUGCUGAAGGAUUCCUGGAAAAGUUCUUUUUCUUGCAUCAUUUAAAAAUAUUCUAUUUACAUGAAGUCAUGUUACAUGAAACUUCUCAGUGAUAAACUUUCUCAUAAAGUGUGGUGUUCCACUUUGAAGUGCAUUUGACGUUUUGGAGAAAAUAAGUUCUUUGGUGAAUUGUCUCUUGUUGAGACCACUUUGCCCACCUCCUAAAACUCCUGUUUUACUCUGUUGGGGAACAG
rnacentral:lncRNA from 1 species